CCGUGCGAAGGUAGCGUAAUCACUUGUUCUUUAAAUGAGGACUAGUAUGAACGGCAUCACGAGGGUUUUACUGUCUCCUUUUUCUAAUCAGUGAAACUGUUCUCCCCGUGAAGAGACGGGGAUAGACAUAUAAGACGAGAAGACCCUAUGGAGCUUUAAAUUUUAUUCAACUGCUUCACUAUGAUAAUAAAUUUUAGGUUGGGGUGACCGCGGAGCACAAAAAAACCUCCGUAUUGAAGGCCUAGCCUGAGCAAAGAGCUACGACUCCAAGCACUAAUACUUUAACAUCCAUUGACCCAAUAUGAUCAACGAACCAAGUUACCCUAGGGAUAACAGCGCAAUCUACUUUGAGAGCCCCUAUCGACAAGUGGGUUUACGACCUCGAUGUUGGAUCAGGGUAUCCCAGUGGUGCAGCCGCUACUA
rnacentral:rRNA from 1 species